rnacentral:rRNA from 1 species
UACGGAAGGGGCUAGAGUUGUUCGGAAUUACUGGGCGAGAAGAGCGCGUAGGCGGCUGACCAAGUUGGGGGUGAAAUCCCGGAGCUCAACUCCGGAACUGCCUUCAAAACUGGUAGGCUCGAGUCCGGAAGAGGGGCGUGGAAUUCCCAGUGUAGAGGUGAAAUUCGUAGAUAUUGGGUAGAACACCGGUGGCGAAGGCGGCGCCCUGGCCCGGUACUGACGCUGAGGCGCGAAAGCGUGGGGAUCAAACAGG